rnacentral:rRNA from 1 species
CCUACGGGCGGCUGCAGUGAGGAAUAUUGGUCAAUGGACGAGAGUCUGAACCAGCCAAGUCGCGUGAAGGAUGACUGCUCUAUGGGUUGUAAACUUCUUUUAUAAAGGAAUAAAACGAGGCACGUGUGCCUUUUUGUAUGUACUUUAUGAAUAAGGAUCGGCUAACUCCGUGCCAGCAGCCGCGGUAAUACGGAGGAUCCGAGCGUUAUCCGGAUUUAUUGGGUUUAAAGGGUGCGUAGAUGGGUUGUUAAGUCAGUUGUGAAAGUUUGCGGCUCAACCGUAAAAUUGCAAUUGAUACUGGCAGUCUUGAGUACAGUUGAGGUAGGCGGAAUUCGUGGUGUAGCGGUGAAAUGCUUAGAUAUCACGAAGAACCCCGAUUGCGAAGGCAGCUUACUAAGCUGUGACUGACAUUGAUGCUCGAAAGUGUGGGUAUCAAACAGGAUUAGAUACCCUAGUAGUC